rnacentral:lncRNA from 1 species
GUCUGCAAAAGAGAAAUGGAUUGCAUUGCAAUGCACAGAGCCUUAUUCGGAUUGGUCUCCAACCAGCUCUCUCUGACUCAGAGAGGUGGGAGUGGAGUUCACACACAGGCCUGAGGCUCUACAAUGGGUCUCUAGUGCACUUCAGUCAGGAAAUCUGAGCAUGCUCACAUCAUAGUGAACCUGGAGUGUCAGAGAUGGAGAGGACCUUGGGGGCCCUCAAGGGCCAUCUAGUCCAUCACUUUGUACCUACAUCUGAGGAAAAUGGUAUGAACCACAGUCAGGUCUGCGAGCCCCAAGCUCUGUACCCACUGCCACACCAUACUGCCUCUGUGGCUAGCCUGGGAUGUCCAGUAUUCCCAAGAUAGCGUUUGGAAGGGAGUAUAGUCCCUAGAAGGGGAGAAAAGGUCCAGAAUAUAAUGGCCUUUUUAAAAGGGCUUUUCCUACUUGCCCCUCAGUACACACUGCCCACUCUCCUCUUGGCAGCAGCCCUGCCACUUUCUUUACACUGCCAGCCACAUGUGGACAUGGGCUACUCAUGACUGUGGAAUUCUCUUGGUGCCACCUUAUUCCUCAGUGGUGCUGGUAUGCCCAAUGGAUAGCAUCAAGAUAUGCCAAUGUGUUUUUGUUGGGCCAGUUGGUUCCUUGUGGGGAUCUGAGAGUGGUUGACUCCAGUCCAGGGUCUUUCAGUUUCUAUUCACUCUGUCUGAGCAAACAGCUUCAAUGCCCGGAUGAGUGGAAACUAUCCAUGCUCAGUAAUCUUCUGCGACAUCAGGGUUUCUCUGUGUUUCAUGAAUGGAAUUGGUUCCCUUUCCUCCACAACCACAAACUCAUUCUUUCAAAGAAGACUUGCUUUGGUCCCCUCUGUCCAGUGGUGUCAAGGAGCCUUAGUCCCAGAGUCCACUCUCCAGGUUGAGCCAACUCCCAGAGGGUCUUUCCCACUGAAUGGGUCUUCCAGCUGCUGGGAAGUGGCUGUGGAGCCACGCCUCUUAAGACACAGUGGCUUCAGUUGCCAAUGUCAGAGGGAAGACCUCUUCUGGGGAGAUGAGUGGGGAGGGGAGGGGAUAAAAGUGACCUCAUGUUUUUUCUUGUGUAAGUUUCAUUGAAUUUUUAAUGCGAGGGUCUCACACUGUGAACCACUUAAGACGCGAUCACUUUCAGGUGGCCAUGAAUGUUGAAUGUCUUUGGCUCAGUUCAUUUCAGCAAAUACCUAUUGGAAAGUUCUCCGGGUUGUACAUAUGUUGAACAGUACAGUGUUCUGUACAGAAAGCGUUCUUUCCUAAAGCAUCCAACAAGAGUCGAUGUACAGGCAUUUUCUUGGUAGCACAAGUGUCUUUCUUGCUUAGAAAGUUGCUCUUGUCCUUUCUGUUCACCAGCCUUGCCAUUGAGUCAGGGGCCUUUGAUUGAAAGGCCCAUCUGUCCCGUUGGCUAAAUAGCUGGCCCUUCCUCGUGAAUUGGAUGCACAGCAUGUUUUGUAUGUAAAUGUUCCUUAUAGGUGUCACCAUGAACAAAGAUAUAUUUUCUAUUUAUUUAUUAUAUGUUCACUUCAAGAAGUCACUGUCAGAGAAGUGAAGAGUCAUUUUAAAUAUUAUAUUAGAGGAUGUCCUUUGGACUACCGGGAGGAGAUGUCAGCUCUGGUUUGGAAAAAUCCUGCUGUACCAUAUUAAACAUACGAAAGAUGUC